GCCGGCAGCACAAUGAUGAUGUCUCUGACUCUACUGCUGGCCACCCUGGGGCUCCUUGUUCAGGGUUCAUCAGGAGAAAUCGUCCUGACUCAGUCUCCUGGAUCUCAGUCUGUUGUUCCAGGACAGACUGUCUCUAUCACAUGUAAAGCCAGUUCAAGUGUUAUUUAUGACAUGCAGUGGUACCUUCAGAAACCUGGAGAAACUCCUAAACUCCUCAUAUAUGAUGAUACAAACCGUUACUCUGGAGUUCCAGAUCGUUUUAGUGGAAGUAAAUCUGGUGACACUGACUUCACUCUGACCAUCAGUGGAGUUCAGACUGAAGAUGCAGGAGUUUACUACUGUCAGCAGGAUGAGAGUUUUCCGUUCACACAGUGA